rnacentral:misc_RNA from 1 species
GAUGAAGAACGCAGCGAAAUGCGAUAAGUAAUGUGAAUUACAGAAUUCAGUGAAUCAUCGAAUCUUUGAACGCACAUUGCGCCCGCCAGUAUUCUGGCGGGCAUGCCUGUUCGAGCGUCAUUACGACCCUCAGGCCCCCGGGCCUGGCGUUGGGGAUCGGCGGAAGCCCCCUGCGGGCACAACGCCGUCCCCCAAAUACAGUGGCGGUCCCGCCGCAGCUUCCAUUGCGUAGUAGCUAACACCUCGCAACUGGAGAGCGGCGCGGCCACGCCGUAAAACACCCAACUUCUGAAUGUUGACCUCGAAUCAGGUAGGAAUACCCGCUGAACUUAAGCAUAUCAAUAAGCGGAGGA